rnacentral:misc_RNA from 1 species
GUGUUGGGCGGCUCGGUCGCGUGGCGCGCGCGACCCCUCCUAAAGACAAUGACGGCGGCCUGCGGUUCCCCCGGCACUCUGAGCUUGUCACCGAGCACGUGCCGGACAAGGCGUCCAGGACCCGGUCCUCCUUUCCUCGGAAACAAGGAAAACUUCUUACGGUUGACCUCGGAUCAGGCAGGAAUACGCGCUGAACUUAA